rnacentral:rRNA from 1 species
UACGGAGGGUGCAAGCGUUGUUCGGAAUCACUGGGCGUAAAGCGCGUGUAGGCGGUCUCCUAAGUCUGGUGUGAAAGCCCGGGGCUCACCCCCGGAAGUGCACUGGAAACUGAGGGACUCGAGUACCGGAGAGGAGGGUGGAAUUCCUGGUGUAGCGGUGAAAUGCGUAGAUAUCAGGAGGAACACCGGUGGCGAAGGCGGCCCUCUGGACGGAUACUGACGCUGAGACGCGAAAGCGUGGGGAGCAAACAGG